AUGAGCGCGGUGCGUGAAUGGUGCACCGAAGCUGAAACUUUUAAGCCUGCUUCUUUUUCUUUUUGUCAAAGUAUCGUAGCAGAGCAGCCCUGUGAGGCUCAACUCAGCAGCGGGCGUGGUCUGCGCGCAGUGUCCGCCCACAAAGAGCAGCGUCCCUGUCACUGAGCCCCAAACCUCAUGGUGUAAAAACGGCGCUCAAUACAACUCGGCUGGCAGCAUGGAGCGACCUGCAGGACACAUGGACAGCUGAGCUGCCACAGCGCAACUUCUGCUCACGGAUGACUGAGUCGCGGUCUGAGGGGCAUCACGGCUGAAGGGGGAGGUCGAGGUCACCAAAGAGGUAUAUUUGUGUUAGAUCUUCAAAAAAAUAUGCUCAGUUCCUUCAGAGAAAAGAAAAGCUUUCAUUGAUUCAAGUAUUAACUCACCGGGAUCUGUAAAAAAAAAAAAUAGAAUUACAACAUAUUUGUGGGGGUUGAAUAAUAAACCAUUUAGUUAUUCAGAGUGUUUUAAAAGGUGCCGUCAGAAAAAUAAUGCAAUAACAUUUGAUUAAUUGUAUUUAGAAAAAUAGCAGCGUAAUUCAAAUGAUAAGUAUUUAGUUAUCUUAAUUAUUAAUUUAGUGCUGAUAAAAAAAACAUUAAUUCAAUUUACUUCAGGUUAUUAUUGUAAUACCAACUGAACAAAUGUCCUCCCAUGUCACUUAAAAGACAAACAGACAAGAUGGACUAAGGAGGAAAGGGAGGAAGGACUCCAAAAAGGAUCA